AAUAUUAAAAUAUUUAGACAAAAUAAAGAGACCAAGAAUUUACCAAAACCCAAAAUUAUGGGCUGCACAAUAUUUUUGGGCCUUUUCUUUUUUUCUAUUUUUUUGUGUUGGGCUGCUGUUACUGGGCUGCCAAGGAACUGGGCCGAAGCUGCUGGGCUGGAGCUGCUGGGCUGUAGCUGCUGGACUACUGCACUGGGCCGAAUCUGCUGCUACUGGAUUGGGCUGCGCUGGGCCUGGCCUGCUGCCUGGCUGCUGGAGUGGCCUGCUGUUGCUGUUGGGUUGUUCUGCUGCGCAUGGGCCUGGCCUGCUGGUGGUGAGCUGCUGGUGGCCUACCAAAAAAUGGCCUGCUGUUUUUAUUUUUAUUUUUUCUUUCUUAUUCUCUCUUUUUCUUUUUUUUCUCUCUUCUUCUUCUCUUAACUUUCUUUUUUCUCCUUCGGCAGCACUCCCCUUUUUAUCGCCGGUGACGUCUCUCCACCUGGUGCGACGGCCGGCGGUGGCGUGCACGGAGGCGUUAAUGGUGGUGGUGGUGUCACGGUGGCGGUUCGGCGACGGCGAUGGUUGCGAGAGGAGGCUUUGGGCCGGAUUUGAGAGCUUUUUCUUUGAAAUUUCUUUGCUCUUUUUUUUCUUUUCUUGGUUGCCCCCAAAAAAAAUCCCCCUCUUUCUCUCAUAUUCCUCUUUUUAAAUCCAUCAAUUUUUGUUUCUUUCUCUUUGUUUUCAGGUGGCAGAGGAGGAGGGAGGCCAUGCAUUGGGGUGGCAGGCGUGGCGAGCGGGGCACGCAAGAAUGCUGGUUGGGGGCAAUCUUGUCAUGCCAAGAAGGACUAAAUUGUAACGGGUGCAAAGUUUCUGGGGUAAAAGUGUAAUUUUGGCAAAAUACGGGGUUAAAAUGUAAUUUUUGAAAAAUUUGAGGGCUAAAACGUAAUUUAGAAGAGUUUAGGGGUAGAAAUGUAAAUUUGAGAAAGUUUAUGGGUUGAAAUGUAAUUUCAAAAAGUUUAGGGGUUGAAAUGUAAUUUAGAAAAGUUUAGGGGCCCAAAAUGUAAUUUAUAUUUUUUGUAUUUUUUCAAAAUUUCAUUAUGACUAUUUUAUUAAUAUUUAAAAAAAUUUAAAAUGGGCUAAAACAAUUCCAAAAUUAAAUCUUAAUGGGCCCGAUCAUUGGGCCCAUACGAGACCAGCCCGGC